GGACCAAGGAGUCUAGCAUGUGCGCGAGUCAUUGGGACCAUAUCUUAACCUAUAGGCGAAAUGAAAGUGAAGGUAGGCCUUGCGCUUGCCGAGGGAGGAUGGGUCGGCUUCGGCCGCGACCUCGCACUCCCGGGGCGUCUCGUUCUCAUCGCGAGAUGAGGCGCACCCAGAGCGUACACGCUGGGACCCGAAAGAUGGUGAACUAUGCCUGGUCAGGACGAAGUCAGGGGAAACCCUGAUGGAGGUCCGUAGCGAUUCUGACGUGCAAAUCGAUCGUCGGAACUGGGUAUAGGGGCGAAAGACUAAUCGAACCAUCUAGUAGCUGGUUCCCUCCGAAGUUUCCCUCAGGAUAGCUGGCGCUCGCUUUCGCGAGUCUCAUCCGGUAAAGCGAAUGAUUAGAGGCAUUGGGGUCGAAACGGCCUCAACCUAUUCUCAAACUUUAAAUGGGUUAGACCUCCGGCUUGCUUGAACGUGAAGCCGCGAGAUAACGUCGGUCUUCGGGCCGACGGAACGGAUCAGAGUGCCAAGUGGGCCACUUUUGGUAAGCAGAACUGGCGCUGUGGGAUGAACCAAACGUCGAGUUAAAGCGCUUAAAUCGACGCUUAUGGGAUGCCAUGAAAGGCGUUGGUAACUUAAGACAUCAGGACGGUGGCCAUGGAAGUCGGA
rnacentral:rRNA from 1 species